rnacentral:rRNA from 1 species
CAAGGCGCUUGAGAGAACUCGGGUGAAGGAACUAGGCAAAAUGGUGCCGUAACUUCGGGAGAAGGCACGCUGAUAUGUAGGUGAAGUCCCUGCGGAUGGAGCUGAAAUCAGUCGAAGAUACCAGCUGGCUGCAACUGUUUAUUAAAAACACAGCACUGUGCAAACACGAAAGUGGACGUAUACGGUGUGACGCCUGCCCGGUGCCGGAAGGUUAAUUGAUGGGGUCAGCCGCAAGGCGAAGCUCUUGAUCGAAGCCCCAGUAAACGGAGGCCGUAACUAUAACGGUCCUAAGGUAGCGAAAUUCCUUGUCGGGUAAGUUCCGACCUGCACGAAUGGCGUAACGACAGCGGCGCUGUCUCCACCCGAGACUCAGUGAAAUUGAAAUCGCUGUGAAGAUGCAGCGUUCCCGUGGCAAGACGGAAAGACCCCGUGAACCUUUACUAUAGCUUUACACUGAACGUUGAGUUCGUCUGUGUAGGAUAGGUGGGAGGCUAUGAAACUGUGGCGCUAGCUGCAGUGGAGCCAUCCUUGAAAUACCACCCUGUCGUGCUUGACGUUCUAACCUAGGUCCAUUAUCUGGAUCGGGGACCGUGUAUGGUGGGUAGUUUGACUGGGGCGGUCUCCUCCUAAAGAGUAACGGAGGAGCUCGAAGGUACGCUCAGCGCGGUCGGACAUCGCGCACUGUGUGCAAAGGCAUAAGCGUGCUUGACUGCAAGAUCGACGGAUCAAGCAGGUAGGAAACUAGGACUUAGUGAUCCGGUGGUUCUGUAUGGAAGGGCCAUCGCUCAACGGAUAAAAGGUACUCCGGGGAUAACAGGCUGAUACCGCCCAAGAGUUCAUAUCGACGGCGGUGUUUGGCACCUCGAUGUCGGCUCAUCACAUCCUGGGGCUGUAGUCGGUCCCAAGGGUAUGGCUGUUCGCCAUUUAAAGUGGUACGCGAGCUGGGUUCAGAACGUCGUGAGACAGUUCGGUCCCUAUCUGCCAUGGGCGUUGGAAGUUUGAGAGGGGCUGCUCCUAGUACGAGAGGACCGGAGUGGACGAACCUCUGGUGUUCCGGUUGUCACGCCAGUGGCAUUGCCGGGUAGCUAUGUUCGGAAGCGAUAACCGCUGAAAGCAUCUAAGCGGGAAGCGCGCCUCAAGAUGAGACUUCCCGGGGCACAAGCCCCCUAAAGGAACCAUAUAGACUAUGUGGUUGAUAGGUCAGGUGUGUAAGUGCAGCAAUGCAUUGAGCUAACUGAUACUAAUGAUCCGUGUGGCUUGACCAU